rnacentral:rRNA from 1 species
GAUAAGUUGGGGCGAGAGGCGGCGGGAAGACGAAUGAUGCAAGCGUUAUCCGGAUUCAUUGGGUUUAAAGGGAGCGUAGGCGGACUUAUAAGUCAGUGGUGAAAUCUCGCAGCUUAACUGCGAAACUGCCAUUGAUACUGUAGGUCUUGAGUACAGUUGCCGUUGGCGGAAUAUGACAUGUAGUGGUGAAAUACUUAGAUAUGUCAUAGAACACCGAUUGCGAAGGCAGCUAACGAAGCUGUAACUGACGCUGAGGCUCGAAAGUGCGGGGAUCAAACAGGAUUAGAUACCCUAGUAGUC